rnacentral:rRNA from 1 species
UGAACGCUGGCGGCGUGCCUAACACAUGCAAGUCGAACGGAGAUACGAUGUGAGCGAGAGGUGCUUGCACUGAUUAAUCUUUCGUAUCUUAGUGGCGGACGGGUGAGUAACGCGUGGGUAACCUGCCUUAUACCGGGGGAUAACACUUAGAAAUAGGUGCUAAUACCGCAUAAGCGCACGGUGUCGCAUGACACAGUGUGAAAAACUCCGGUGGUAUAAGAUGGACCCGCGUCUGAUUAGCCAGUUGGCAGGGUAACGGCCUACCAAAGCGACGAUCAGUAGCCGGCCUGAGAGGGUGAACGGCCACAUUGGGACUGAGACACGGCCCAAACUCCUACGGGAGGCAGCAGUGGGGAAUAUUGCACAAUGGGGGAAACCCUGAUGCAGCGACGCCGCGUGAGUGAAGAAGUAUUUCGGUAUGUAAAGCUCUAUCAGCAGGGAAGAAGAAAUGACGGUACCUGACUAAGAAGCCCCGGCUAACUACGUG